GCCCGUAUUGCUUUGGCAGUACGCCGGCUUCUUAGAGGGACUAUCGGCUCAAGCCGAUGGAAGUUUGAGGCAAUAACAGGUCUGUGAUGCCCUUAGAUGUUCUGGGCUGCACGGUA
rnacentral:rRNA from 1 species